rnacentral:lncRNA from 1 species
UCAGGGAGUGCUGAUGGAAUAGUGUGAACCCAAAAUAUCUGAGGCAGGUCUCAGUCAAUUUAGAAAGUUUAUUUUGCCAAGGUUGAGGGCGCGCCGUGACACAGCCUCAGGACGUCUGGUGAUGGUGGCCGGGGCCCAGCUUGGUUUUAUACAUUUUAGGGAGACAUGAGACAUCAAUCAAUGUAUGUAAGAUGUACAUUGGUUCUGUCCAGAAAGAUGGGACAACUCAAAGCAGGGAGGGGGCUUCCGGUUAUAGGUAGAUCAGAGACAAAUGGCUGCAUUCUUUUGAGUUUUUGAUUAGCCUUUCACUGAAUGCACAAUUUACUGGAAUAGUUACGUAUGCCUUAGUCUGGCUGAGUGAAACAACAGGGCGGAGGAAGCAUUCCGAUCUGUGUUUGUCUCAUGUGAACAGAGGGAUGACUGAGUUCUGUCUGUCCUUCGUCCACGAGGAAUUUCCUUGUGGUCAAAUUGUGAGGGUGGUCUGUAGCUUGUUAAAAAUCUUCUCAGCCAUCUUAUUUAGGAAUAGAAUGGGAGACAGGUUUGCCCAACACAGUUUCCAGCUUGACUUCCCUUAGGUUUAGUGAUUUUGGGAUCCUGAGAUUUAUUUUCCUUUCACAAGAGACUGCAGGUGUUGCUGCAGUGUCUAAAACACAACUGUAUAUUUUGAGUGGACUCAAUCCAUCAGUUGAAUUUACUAGGUCUUCAAAAGCGAGUGGCAGUUUGUCGCUGGCGGCAGCCCUUCUGGUCCCCGGGGAGGAUCGGUGUCUUUUAGGACAAGAAUUUUAUCCUACACCCCGUGGCUGUCUUCCUAAGCCAGUACUUUUUUGGAGCUGCAGCGGUCAGGCUCAGAAAACCAAGACAGUUCCCACCCUAUUUAUUUUGUUUUACUAGAGAUUAAUCUGUCCAAUGGGAAGCAAUUGUCAACUGAUACUCAAUAGAUGUUCAUUUAUUUAAUUGUACUGAAUCAAACCUGAGGAUGACUCUUCUGAACUCUGGAAGAUGAGAUACACAUUUUCGGGGGAAGAGAGCUCUGCUGCCCCCUCCUUCCGGCUGCUUCCCACUUCCAUGGUCCGCCCUGGUCUGGCGAGUCCCUGUGCUCCUUCCCCGUUAGACCUGGACACCUUCCCAGCGGCCCCUUGAAUUCACUAGUUCUGUUCUUUCUGUGGACUCUUUGCCAAUCCCAAUGCUGCACUGAGUUCCCUUCUAAGUCUCAUCUCCUUGAGAAGUUAUUUCUGACCAGUGCAGGACUGUACUGAUCCAGAGCAACAUUCAGCUGCCACCCCAGCAAGAAAUGCCCACGGCUGUGAAAAAGGAAACAUCCCGGGGUGUGGCUCACUCUGGGUGGGGGUUUCCCACCAAAAGGAACGGCAGUGUCACUCUUUAAAGACGACAUCCAGCUUCAUCCAUGUCCUUGCAAAGGACAUGAACUCACCCUUUUUAUGGCUGCUAAACUGCACAUUCUGCACAUGUAUCCCAGAACUUAAAGUUAAAAAAAAAAAAGACGACGUCCAGCAGGAUUAGAAUGAUGUCUGUACCUGCUACCACGAGGCCAGCCAAAACAAAACCCACAACAAAACCCGAGGCCAGCCAAAACAAAACCCACAACAAAACCCGAGGCCAGCCAAAACAAAACCUACAAUAAAAGCGAGAGAAAAAGGUGUGCAAGAUUGCAUACUUUACGAUAGAAACCAGGUGGAGGCAACCAUGCUUUACGAUAGAAACCAGGUGGAGGCAAUCGCAUGUACAUAGCUAGAAUAAAAUAGGCAAAUGCCAUAUUAUGCAAAUAUAUUUUGGAACUCAUUGAAGACAAAGCACAAAGCAGAAUUUUAAUAUGCAAAUAAAAACUAGUUUUAUAGAAAAUAUUUGCAUGUGUGCUGAAAAGCCUACAGAUUUAUGGUGUGGUAACGGAAGAAAGCAGACCCAAUCAACUUGCUUGUGCCUCACGGAAUCCCUGGGACUGACGGAUUUCUGGCAGCUGGGUAACUGAACUACGCAGCUCGUAAGUGUGGACGUGUUUCCUGUGGAUGUCCCACUUGCCGUAUCACUCCUCCUUUUUGCAAAGUCAAUGAAGGCAUCUUGGCAGACGUGAGCCUGUGAGGGAGGCCCCCGCUGACAGGCUGUGGGCUGCUCUGAGGUAGUGGACUUCCACGAGUGGGUCCUGAAGGCUUGGCACAGCUCCCAUCUUGCCUUGAUUAGAUGCUCUCACCUGGCUGGUGCCACGGCCAGGCCGUACCUCCUCAUCGGCCUGGACACCUGCCCUCCUGGAGCUUGGCUCCCAGUGCUGCUCCUUGGAGACAAGCUCUGGUGCCCUCUUGCUGCCUCUUCCCUCUUCUGCCCCCAAAGCAGCCAGUAUUUAAGGACCCCGGCCCGAGAUGCUGCCCAUCCUUUUCCUUCCAUGGCAGGUAGGGCACUGGAACUGUACGCCCUGGAAUGGAGCUCAGAGCUCUUCAGCUGGUACCAGCAUGGUUACUUCAGGGACACAGGUGCGUGUCUGAGCCUCCUGCAGGGCCGAGGUGCUCAGCUGCCUGCUUGAAAUGCUUUGUUUACUCCUGUCUUUCCUCUUCUCUCACUCUUCUCCAGCCUUCCUGUGAACAUAAAGUUACACCCGCUGCUUCACCAAGUUGGUGGACAGAGUGAUCAGGGUGGAUAUUUUCGGGAGAAAAUGAGCACGGUGGCCCUGUUCAUCAGGGACCAAAACUGGGGAUGAUGCCUCCGAGACCGGUGUACAGACAGGAAACAGGUGUUACAGGUGGGGAGCCACCUACUUAGGCUCACAGGUCCUUGUAGGAACUGUGGCAAGCUGGAC